rnacentral:misc_RNA from 1 species
UGUUGUUCCUCCUAAAAGGGUUGCAGACCC